rnacentral:rRNA from 1 species
AUUGAACGCUGGCGGAAUGCUUUACACAUGCAAGUCGAACGGCAGCAUAGGUGCUUGCACCUGAUGGCGAGUGGCGAACGGGUGAGUAAUACAUCGGAACGUGCCCAGUCGUGGGGGAUAACGUAGCGAAAGUUACGCUAAUACCGCAUACGAUCUAAGGAUGAAAGCGGGGGACCGUAAGGCCUCGCGCGAUUGGAGCGGCCCAUGUCAGAUUAGGUAGUUGGUGAGGUAAAGGCUCACCAAGCCGACGUUCUGUAGCUGGUCUGAGAGGACGACCAGCCACACUGGGACUGAGACACGGCCCAGACUCCUACGGGAGGCGGCAGUGGGGAAUUUUGGACAAUGGACGCAAGUCUGAUCCAGCCAUUCCGCGUGCAGGACGAAGGCCUUCGGGUUGUAAACUGCUUUUGUACGGAACGAAAAAGCUAUUACUAAUACUAGGAGUCCAUGACGGUACCGUAAGAAUAAGCACCGGCUAACUACGUGCCAGCCGCCGCAGUAA